rnacentral:rRNA from 1 species
AAUGAACGCUGGCGGCGGGCCUAAUACAUGCAAGUCGAGCGGAAACACGGUAAGCUUUCUCCUUUACCGUUGGCGGCGGGCGGAUGGGUGACACGUGCAUCACCUACCUCUAAUUCGGGGGUAACUUCGUGGAACCGGUGAUACUACUACAUCAUAUGUCGUACCGCAUAGUUCAAUAGUUCUUCAGACCUUUGCUGUCUCAUUUAGCCGAAGCCGGAUUAGCUAGUUGGUUUGGUAAAGGCCUACCAAGGCGACGAUCCGUAGCUGAUCUGAGAGGAUGAUCAGCCACACUGGAACUGAGACACGGUCCAGACUCCUACGGGAGGCAGCAGUAGGGAAUCUUGCGCAAUGGGCGAAAGCCUGACGCAGCAACGCCGCGUGAGUGAAGAAGGUCUUCGGAUCGUAAAGCCCUUUUAUUAGGGAAGAAAAAAAGUGUAUUUAAAUCCGGCUGUUCUGACGGUACCUAAAGAGUAAGCCACGGCUAACUACGUG